GGACGGGACCCAGGGACAGAGGGCCCAGCUGCAGACUCAAUCCCAGACAUCAACCUCCAGACCUGGGCAGGGCGGAGUCGGUACAACUCCCGGAUCACAGCAGCAACCCCCCACAGCGGGACCGGGCACAGGGCUAGGACCAGGACAGACCAAACCAGGGCAAAUGGGACAAAUGGGACAAAUGGGACAAAUGGGACAGAUGGGACAGAUGGGACAAAUGGGCCCAGCAGGGGGCGCUAUGGGCCAGACCAGGCAGACAGGACCUGCUGGGACCACAUCGUCUCCUAUGGCUAAGAUCGACACUCCGCCGAUCACAGCCAUAGGAGCCAAAGCUGCUCCCAUUGCUGCCAACAAGGCCGGACAACCCCCCCUCACCGGGAUCGGCUCUAAAGCGGCUCCUCGUCCUGGAGGCAUCGGCAGUGCAGCAGCAGGAG
ensembl:lncRNA